CAGUCGCCGCGGGAAUACAGAGGGUGCAAGCGUUAAUCGGAAUUACUGGGCGUAAAGCGCGCGUAGGUGGUUUGUUAAGUUGGAUGUGAAAGCCCCGGGCUCAACCUGGGAACUGCAUCCAAAACUGGCAAGCUAGAGUACGGUAGAGGGUGGUGGAAUUUCCUGUGUAGCGGUGAAAUGCGUAGAUAUAGGAAGGAACACCAGCGGCGAAGGCGACCACCUGGACUGAUACUGACACUGAGGUGCGAAAGCGUGGGGAGCAAACAGGAUUAGAUACCCGAGUAGUCCCUGUCUCUUAUAC
rnacentral:rRNA from 1 species